UACGAGGGGGGCAAGCGUUAUUCGGUCAAACUGGGCGUAAAGCGUCUUUAGGUGGUUUGGCGUGUGUUUGCGGCGAAAGUCCGAGACGUAACCUCGGGGUGUCCGCAAAGACUGCUUUCUGGAGUUUUGGAGGGGUGGGCGUUAUUCCUUCAAGAGAGUUAAAAUGCAUUGACUGGACGGUUGAAGAAGGGGCGGAACCGGGCC
rnacentral:rRNA from 1 species